ensembl:lncRNA
GGUAAGGAGGUUACAAAGAGAGUGGGAAGUAGUCUGUAAAUUAAUAUCUGUAUGAAUAGAGUGAUGGUUCUGUGAGAAAUAAAAUGUGAGGCCCCCUUCCUAUCUCAGAUCACCUUCUUCCUGGCUUCCCACUCAACAGGGAAGAAAUUUUUAGUUGGAACGGUCAGAGCCCAAGACAUGGAUUGGGCAGUGACAUAGAUUGUAUUUUCCCAAACUGUCUCAUCUCUCACACUGUUCUUAUGAUGUGAUGCUGACAGGCUUCAUUCUGAGAUGGGGUCUGCCCUCUCCCUUUGAACCCAGGCAGACCUUUGUAAGUGCCUCAACUAGUCACCGGAGAAGGAAAUGGCAACCCAUUCCAGUGUUCUUGCCUGGAGAAUCCCAGGGACGGGGGAGCCUUCUGGGCUGCUGUCUAUGGGGUCGCACAGAGUCGGACACGACUGAAGCGACUUAGCAACAGCAGCAGUAUGAAAGUUACUAUGACUUCCACCUGGCUUUCUCUAGAGGCACUGGCCGUGUUAGGGGAAGCCUCCUGGAGAGGCCACGUGUGAGCACUCUGGCCAACAGCCAACAACAGACAUGUGAGUGAAUGCUCCUUUAGACAUGUCCAGUCCUCAGCCUUCGAGUGUUCUGUGGAGACUGCAGAAACUGUGGAGCAGAGACAAGCUAUCUUUGCUGUGCCCUGUCUGAAUUCCUCCUGCUCCAUUGGAACCACAAGACAUAAUCAACGAUCCUUGUUCAUCUAACCCAGAGCCUGGCACGCACAAGAUGCUCAGCCGCUGUUUGUGGAGUGAAUAAACAAGCCCGGCACUGGAUGCUUGACGCUGCCUCAAUGCUUGGGGCCCUGGGUGUGGACGGAGUGCUGACCGCAGCCCGGCAUCUUCAAGGGUUGCAUGUGGCACCUUGGCUGUCUCAUUUAUAAUCCAUGAGACAGUCAUUGUAUUCCAGAUUGCUCUUCACUGUCAUUUUAGCCUUUAGCUGCUUACUGAAAUGAGCUAAUUAAAGCUGAAUUAUUUUAAUUGCUAAUCAUCAAGAAAAAAGGUUUUUUUUUU